CAUGUGCCUCCGCGAGGCCCUGGGCUUGUGGGGCUGCGUUGGAGGCCCCGGGCGGGAGCGCUGGCGCCGCUGCGGUCUCUGGCGCUGGAGUUUAGGGGUGAGCCGGACUUCUGCACGUCACGUCCCUGAUACGUAGUAGAUGAUGGUUGCAGGGGCUUGGACUAGGUGACCGUUGGAGGCCCCACCCAGCCCUGCUUCUCUGCAAUGUUGCUGGGUAUCCGGUGAUUGUUGUAUUUGUUUGGUCAUGUCAACCCUGGGUUUGCUGCCAGCGCCUCCUUAUGACUGCUUGUCUCAAAAUAAAGAAAUGCUUCAACUUUGAUGACCCAGUUCUCACUCGCUCGCUGCCACCUUACUAUGAGCAAUAUCAAGUACUCGCCAUUCACACUGUGUCCAUGCAUCAGGAUUCCCGAGCUGCUUCUAGGACGUGCUUCAAAAACAACUUCAAAUUUCAGACCUAAACUGAAGGAUUCAUCUGUGGGAAGAAAAAUAUGUUAUUCAUCUGUGGGAAAUGUUAUUUCCAUCCUCACAUUAAUGAUGGACAAAUCACUGGGCUAGAGAAUCUUGGCAAAGGCAGAGCAUCUGUUUGGAAUUAAGGCACAUUCAAAGGGAUCAAGUCUCAUCCUCUGUUGUUUUUCAAAUGACCUCUUUUGGAACCACAACCAUCUGGCAAAUUUAAGAUCGUGAUAUACUGUGGACUUUGGCCAAAUGGAAGCUGGUAUCAGAGUA